ACCUACUGUUUAAUUUUGAGGGUUCGUUUUUACGAAUACUCAAAAUUAGCACUUUUAGCAACAGAAUAAACUGAACGCAUGUGAAGUUUGUUUGUUGGCGCUGUGCAUUAGCACUUUAAGCAACGGGAUUUAUCCGUUGGCGCUGUGCUUUAGCACUUUGAAAACUGCAUAUAUAUUUAGUGAUAUGACAUCUAAUUUGUAAUAUAUAAAGCUGAUAACUUUUUAAAAUUAUCGAAGUUGAUAGCUUUUAAUCUAUCAAACCUUUUUAACUGGUCAA
rnacentral:misc_RNA from 1 species